ACAGCGCAAAGGAUAGUGCGUUGGACUUCUAAUCCAAAGGUUGUGAAUUCGAAUAUCACCUGGGAUG